rnacentral:rRNA from 1 species
UACGUAGGGUGCAAGCGUUGUCCGGAAUUAUUGGGCGUAAAGAGCUCGUAGGCGGUUUGUCGCGUCUGCUGUGAAAACCCGAGGCUCAACCUCGGGCCUGCAGUGGGUACGGGCAGACUAGAGGUAGGUAGGGGAGAAUGGAAUUCCCGGUGUAGCGGUGAAAUGCGCAGAUAUCGGGAGGAACACCGGUGGCGAAGGCGGUUCUCUGGGCCUUACCUGACACUGAGGAGCGAAAGCGUGGGGAGCGAACAGG